GGCCUGAUAGCACAGUUGGAAGUGCUUCUGCUCUGCUUAACUUGAACUGUCUCUAAAUCAGCAGAAGAUCCCCGUUCGAUUCGGGGUCAGGUCA